GAUAUGGUGUAUAUUGGUAGCACAAUGGAUUUUGAAUCCUUGGGGGUAGGUUCAAUGCCUGCAAUCCUAG
rnacentral:tRNA from 1 species